CAAUAGCGUAUAUUAAAGUUGUUGCGGUUAAAAAGCUCGUAGUUGGAUUUCUGCCGAGGACGACCGGUCCGCCCUCUGGGUGAGUAUCUGGCUCGGCCUGGGCAUCUUCUUGGAGAACGUAGCCGCACUUGACUGUGUGGUGCGGUAUCCAGGACUUUUACUUUGAGGAAAUUAGAGUGUUUCAAGCAGGCUUACGCCUUGAAUACAUUAGCAUGGAAUAAUAAGAUAGGACCUCGGUUCUAUUUUGUUGGUUUCUAGAGCUGAGGUAAUGAUUAAUAGGGAUAGUUGGGGGCAUUCGUAUUCCAUUGUCAGAGGUGAAAUUCUUGGAUUUCUGGAAGACGAACUACUGCGAAAGCAUUUACCAAGGAUGUUUUCAUUAA
rnacentral:rRNA from 1 species